CUCUUACCUUCUAAAAUGGUCUUUCCAUUUAAACUCUUGUUGGGUAGUCUAACAUGGGGUGAUCAAAGGGCAAAGAUAUUCAGUGGAGGUCAGCUUCUGUCUCUGUCUCUAGACAAGACCUCUGGCUCUGGAUUUAUAUCAAAGAAAGAGUAUCUGUUUGGGAGAAUUGAUAUGCAGCUCAAACUUGUUGCAGGCAACUCUGCUGGCACUGUUACUGCCUACUACUUGUCUUCUCAAGGGCCAACACAUGAUGAGAUUGACUUUGAGUUUUUGGGAAACCUUAGUGGUGACCCUUACAUUGUUCAUACUAAUGUGUUCACUCAAGGGAAAGGAAAUAGAGAGCAACAGUUCUAUCUCUGGUUUGACCCUACCAGAAAUUUUCACACCUACUCCAUUGUCUGGACCUCCCAGCAAAUCAUUUUCUUGGUGGAUAACACUCCCAUAAGGGUAUUCAAGAAUGGUGAAUCAAUUGGUGUCCCUUUCCCUAAAAACCAACCCAUGAAGAUCUACUCUAGCCUCUGGAAUGCUGAUGACUGGGCCACGAGAGGCGGGCCAGUGAAAGCUGACUGUACAAAAGCACCAUUCACAGCAUACUACCGGGGCUUCAAUGUCCAAACCUGUACUGGUUCAUGCACUUCUUCGGUCUCAGGCAGGACAUGGCAGAACCAGGAACUUGAUGCAUACAGUCGAAGGCGAUUAAGAUGGGUUCAAAAGAAUUUCAUGAUUUCCAACUACUGCUGGACUGACAUCGACAUUGACAUCGAUCAGUGGUGCCGCAGGACGAACCACCACCUACAGCCUCAUCUCCGAAUCUCUCUCUCUCUCUCUCUCUCUCAUAUUUCCACUUUCAAACCCACAUUCUUUUUUUUAAUAAACCCAACACCCUCUCUCUCCACCUUAUCACAUGGGCUUGUCCCCUCUCUCUCCUCCGUUUGAUUUCAAAAUCACUUAUUUUUUAUUUAUUUUCUCCAAAUCACUUUUAAUCUCUUUCAAAUACCCACUCUAUAAUAAUAUAUCUUUUGCAGAGGCACUACCCCCAACUUUAUUUUGAAACAUCCAUCAUCCACCUCACACCGAUCUUUCUCAAAUCACCCAUCCAAAAAUAUUUUUUUAUCUAUUUUUUAUUUUAUUUUAUUUUUAUUAUUAAACAAAACAACAACACAAAA